CCUACGGGUGGCAGCAGUGGGGAAUAUUGCACAAUGGGCGCAAGCCUGAUGCAGCCAUGCCGCGUGUGUGAAGAAGGCCUUCGGGUUGUAAAGCACUUUCAGCGGGGAGGAAGGCGAUAAGGUUAAUAACCUUGUCGAUUGACGUUACCCGCAGAAGAAGCACCGGCUAACUCCGUGCCAGCAGCCGCGGUGAUACGGAGGGUGCAAGCGUUAAUCGGAAUUACUGGGCGUAAAGCGCACGCAGGCGGUCUGUCAAGUCGGAUGUGAAAUCCCCGGGCUCAACCUGGGAACUGCAUUCGAGACUGGCAGGCUAGAGUCUUGUAGAGGGGGGUAGAAUUCCAGGUGUAGCGGUGAAAUGCGUAGAGAUCUGGAGGGAUACCGGUGGCGAAGGCGGCCCCCUGGAUAAAGACUGACGCUCAGGUGCGAAAGCGUGGGGAGCAAACAGGAUUAGAUACCCGUGUAGUC
rnacentral:rRNA from 1 species